CGCAGCCGGAGAGAGCUUCACGCACACUAUCUCUUCAUUCUUCCUGAGCUCUGUCACGGAGGGGGCCUUUAUUUAUUUAUUUUUGGGAAAUCUGCUUCGCCACUGAAGGUAAUCUGCACCCCAGAAGGAAUACGACUUCAGUGUUUCAUGAAGUAUUUUACAGAAGAAAUGAAAGUGAACUGGUGUCACAAAGAUGCUAAGAUCUCAUCCAGUGAGCGUAUGAGAAUCGGGGGGAGUGAAGAGAUGGCCUGGCUGCAGAUAUGUGAGCCGACGGAGAAGGAUAAAGGAAAAUACACUUUUGAGAUUUUUGAUGGCAAAGAUAACCAUCAACGCUCCCUCGACCUGUCCGGACAAGAGCUGCUGCUUUUGCAGAGAAGAAUCGGGGCAGGUUGAUUGGCGGCUUGCCUGACGUGGUGACCAUCAUGGAGGGGAAGACCUUGAAUCUAACCUGCACGGUGUUUGGAAACCCUGACCCCGAAGUGGUUUGGUUCAAGAACGACCAGGACAUCCAGCUCAGUGAGCACUUCUCAGUGAAGGUGGAGCAGGCCAAGUACGUCAGCAUGACCAUCAAAGGCGUGACCUCCGAGGACUCGGGCAAGUACAGCAUCAACAUC
rnacentral:sRNA from 1 species